CCUACGGGCGGCUGCAGUGGGGAAUAUUGGACAAUGGGGGCAACCCUGAUCCAGCCAUGCCGCGUGUGUGAAGAAGGCCCUCGGGUUGUAAAGCACUUUCAGUGAGGAAGAACGCCUGGUGGUUAAUACCCAUCAGGAAAGACAUCACUCACAGAAGAAGCACCGGCUAACUCCGUGCCAGCAGCCGCGGUAAUACGGAGGGUGCGAGCGUUAAUCGGAAUUACUGGGCGUAAAGCGCGCGUAGGUGGCUUGAUAAGCCGGUUGUGAAAGCCCCGGGCUCAACCUGGGAACGGCAUCCGGAACUGUCAAGCUAGAGUGCAGGAGAGGAAGGUAGAAUUCCCGGUGUAGCGGUGAAAUGCGUAGAGAUCGGGAGGAAUACCAGUGGCGAAGGCGGCCUUCUGAACUGACACUGACACUGAGGUGCGAAAGCGUGGGUAGCAAACAGGAUUAGAUACCCUGGUAGUC
rnacentral:rRNA from 1 species